ensembl:miRNA
CUGCUUGCUCCCAGGUUGAGGUAGUUGGUUGUAUAGUUUAGAAUUACAUCCUGGGAGAUAACUGUACAACCUCCUAGCUUUCCCUGAGGU